rnacentral:rRNA from 1 species
GACGAACGCUGGCGGCGUGCCUAACACAUGCAAGUCGAACGGAACUGUUUUGAAAGAUUUCUUCGGAAUGAAUUUGAUUUAGUUUAGUGGCGGACGGGUGAGUAACGCGUGAGUAACCUGCCUUCAAGAGGGGGAUAACAUUCUGAAAAGAAUGCUAAUACCGCAUGACAUAUCGGAAUCACAUGAUUCUGAUAUCAAAGAUUUUAUCGCUUGAAGAUGGACUCGCGUCCGAUUAGUUAGUUGGUGAGGUAACGGCUCACCAAGACCGCGAUCGGUAGCCGGACUGAGAGGUUGAACGGCCACAUUGGGACUGAGACACGGCCCAGACUCCUACGGGAGGCAGCAGUGGGGGAUAUUGCGCAAUGGGGGCAACCCUGACGCAGCAACGCCGCGUGAAGGAUGAAGGUUUUCGGAUUGUAAACUUCUUUUAUUAAGGACGAAA